UGGGGAAUUUUGGACAAUGGGCGAAAGCCUGAUCCAGCAAUGCCGCGUGUGUGAAGAAGGCCUUCGGGUUGUAAAGCACUUUUGUCCGGAAAGAAAUCCUUGGCUCUAAUACAGUCGGGGGAUGACGGUACCGGAAGAAUAAGCACCGGCUAACUACGUGCCAGCAGCCGCGGUAAUACGUAGGGUGCAAGCGUUAAUCGGAAUUACUGGGCGUAAAGCGUGCGCAGGCGGUUUGCUAAGACCGAUGUGAAAUCCCCGGGCUCAACCUGGGAACUGCAUUGGUGACUGGCAGGCUAGAGUAUGGCAGAGGGGGGUAGAAUUCCACGUGUAGCAGUGAAAUGCGUAGAGAUGUGGAGGAAUACCGAUGGCGAAGGCAGCCCCCUGGGCCAAUACUGACGCUCAUGCACGAAAGCGUGGGGAGCAAACAGGAUUAGAUACCCUGGUAGUCCACGCCCUAAACGAUGUCAACUAGUUGUUGGGGGAUUCAUUUCCUUAGUAACGUAGCUAGCGCGUGAAGUUGACCGCCUGGGGAGUACGGUCGCAAGAUUAAAACUCAAAUGAAUUGACGGGGUCAUAGCUGUUUCCU
rnacentral:rRNA from 1 species